AUGACCACAUACUAAAUGUUGAGCAGAGUGUCAAUUUACAAGCGAUGUUGUACAGCAUCCAUUCAUCUUCGUCACACUCUUCUAUUGUAUAGAUAAGGAAAUGAAGGCUGUGGGGUGAGGCCAUUUCCCCUAGGACUUAUGCUAGAAAGUACCCCAGGCAUUCAAACUCUGGUCCGCAACCCCAAAGCCACGCUUCUGUUACUAUGCAGUCAAUGUCUGUGACGCUUUAAAUGAACCCAAAGAGUUUAAUGUUAACCCUGUGUUUCCUGACUAUAAGAGCCAUAUGUAUUCAUUACUAAAAAUUUAACUGACUAAUAUGGCAAAACCAAAUUAGGCACAAUUUCCCUGCAUGAAGUUUACCAUGCGUGGGUAAUUGGUACUGGGGGUUGAAUUUGGGGUCUCCUGCAGGGUAGGAAAGUGCUCUGGCACUGAGUUGUACCCACCCACAAGUCCUUUUCAGUGUUUUUCUGUGACUCAGUUUUGUAGAAAGCUCUGAGGCCUUGUGCUUGUGCUAAGUAUUUACCAUUGAAAUGCAUAACUGUUUUUUUAUGUUUAUUUAUCAUGUGUGUGCAUGCACACAUGCAUGCCAUGGCCAGCAUAUGGAGGUUAGAGGUCACCUUGUAAGUGUUGACUGUUUUCCACUAUGUGGUUUCACUGAGCAAGACUCUGAGGCUUGGAUAUUGUAGAAUACAUGUUCCCCUGUAGUUAGGAUUUGACACAUUUUUCAUUGAAAAACAGUUUCUAGUUUUAAUUUUGGAUAAUUCAUAGACAAUAUAUAGAAAUAUUAUUGAUUUGGGUGUGGUAAAAUUUUAUUCUGCAACUUUAUUGAUUCCUUCAAUAGUUCUAGUAGUUUCAUGUGUGUGUGUAUUUGUGAGUAUACAUGCAUAUGCACAUGUGUACUCAUGUACAAUCAUUCCUUCAGUUUCACAUACAAGAUCAUAAAUCUAUGACGAUGGGCUUUUUUUUAAAGUUUCUCAUUACGAUGCCUUUUUUGUCCUCCCUAAACUGUCUAGAACGAAGCAAAUGGAAGUGGCAAAAUCUGGCCCUGCUGCCUUAGGCCCAGUCUUACCAAGAGAAAAAUGUAGCGUUUUACCAUUGUGUGUGCAUGUGUUUGUCUGUGUUUCUUUCCUUCAGCAUAAAAACAGCUUUCCUACUGGGCCACUGUCAUAGACUCCCAACCAUUUGUCAAGGUUAAGGACACCUUUCCCUUGAAGCUUUCUAUGCCCAGGUCCACAAGGGCCAUCUGCCUUCUGAAAAAGGCAGGAUUUUCUCCUUCCCCUAAUAUUUGAAGAGUUGUAUUUUACAUGUGUGGCUGUUUGUUGUGCAUUUAUGUUUGUGUACCACAGGAGUGCCCGGUGCAGAAGAACCAGAAGAACAAGGCCUGGAAUCCUCAGGAACUGGAAUUACAAAUGUUUGUGAACAGUCACAUGGCUACUGGAAUCAGUCUCUGAUCUUUUGGAAAACACACCCUGUCCUCUUAAAUCCCUGAGCCACCUCUCCAGCUCCUGUUUUAUAUUCUAUUCCUAAGUAUAUUUUGAACUUUGGAGGAAAUGCUUUCUUAGUCUGUUCACAUGAUGGUGUGCGUUUUAAACUCUGUUUUAUUAAAUGGUGUGUUGCAACAUUUCUGAUUUUAAAACAGCCUUGCAUUCCUGGGAUAAACUUUAGUUGGUGUCUUAGUUAGGGUUUUAUUGCUGUGAUGAGACACCAUGACCAAGACAACUCUUAUAAAGGCAACAUUUCAUUGGGCUGGCUUACAGUUUCAGAGGUUCAGUCUAUUAUCAUCAAGGGGGGUGGGAGGAAGCAUGACAGCAUCCAGGCUGGCAUGAUGAAGGAGCUGAGAGUUCUACAUCUUGACCAGAAGGCAGCCAGGAGAAGACUGUCUCCAAGGCAGCCAGGAGGAGGGUCUCAAAGCCCACACCCACAGUGACACUUCCUCCAACAAGGCCACACCUACUCCAAUAAGGCUACAUGACCUAAUAAUGCCAUUUCCAGGGCCAAGAGUAUUUAAACCACCAUAGUUGAUAAAAUCUUUUUAAACUAUGUUUCACCUUGCUAAUAUUCUGCUGAGGGUUCUAUUUUAAUGAAGAAAUUAAAAAUAUAAGGUUUUUUGUUUCUCCUUACAGUCACUUCCUCUGAA
rnacentral:lncRNA from 1 species